rnacentral:tRNA from 1 species
GCGCCCCUGCCGUGGGCCUGCGGUGGGCGCUCAGGCCGCCCGCACGCUGCCUUCCGGCACGCCGCCGUGGGCGCUCGGACGCGGCCCGGGCGUGC